CACUAACUUGUCCAUCACCUAUGUAUGCAUCAGAGAGAGAUAGUAGGGAAGGAGGACUUAUGGACCAACUUGUCCUUCACCAGAUCGUUCAAGGGGAGCACAAAAGCAACAGUACAUUGGCCUAGCUUGUUCCCCUUCAUCCAACUAGAUCGGAGAAACAUGCAAAAAAUAGCAUGGAUCAGAUGUAUAGAUGGAGAAGAAGAGAAUAUAAGGUGAUGAUCAAAUGACAAACCUGAGGUGCUGCUGCUCCUCCUAGGCUGCCAUGGACAAUAUGAUGCCCGCAAGAUCUUCUCCAUGGCCGGCCCCUUCCUUCACAAAACAGAUUGUUCCUCUUUACAAACCUG
rnacentral:lncRNA from 1 species